GCUCGUCAUGAAUAUUACAGUAGAAAGUUGUGCAUAUGUGAAUAGCUUCUAAAGAUUUGGGACAAUAAGUAUCCCAAUGUUGAUGUGUUUCCUUGGCUCCUCUUGUAAGAUCUCAAAACUGCCCCCAUGCAGAAAGACAAUUUCUCAUCAGGCACCAGCAGCCGGAGCACCGAGCUCAUUCACAGAGGAGUCCGAUAUCUACAGAAAGCCAUCAUGAAAUUGGAUUACAAACAGGACGAGUCCAAACACCUCGCUCCAAUUUGGCACUGAACUGGUGAAGCCGCGCCUCCAGGAAGCUCUCUGUCGUGAUUGACAUGUAAUCAGACACGCCCACUAAGGUGAGCAUUUCAGCAUCCUUUGCACAGUGCUAUGUAUGUAUUUCACAUCUGUAGAGAGAAAUUAACAAUGGUUAAAA
rnacentral:lncRNA from 1 species